UUGGGGCCGAAGAUAUAAAGGCGGCAGCAGGAGGACGGGGUCAGCCAGUCAAUGAAAUCGUCCACCCAGGAGGAGGCAGCGAUGGCCAGGGCCCUGGUGACUAUCUAUGACUCAGCCCUGUGAUGCGACCCCCAGUGCUUCUACAGCUGGGACGGUCACUGUGUGACACUUGCUGGCUUCCUGCUCUCCUCUAUAUGGUCACUGGAAGCCACCAGCCCACACCACCUCUGGUGCACAUCCGGACCAGCAGCAGGUCCAACCUCAGCUGAUGCAUCGUGUCACACACUUUCUGGCCAAGGUCUGGCAGUCAGGACUCUCUGCCACCAUGCUCCCUGCCUCCAGCUUGUCCCCUACUCCUGCCCCACUCCCAUGGCUGCUCCCACACCCAGGAAACACGCCUUGGCUCAUCCCAGCUUCCCACAGAAGCCAUAGCUCGACUCCUCGAGCAACUGGAGUUUGAACUGCACAGGUCCACUUAUCCACAGAUUUUCUUCCACCUCUGCCACCCUGAGAAAACAAAACCAACCCCUCCUCCCGCCUCCCCCGCCUGAAGAUGGGAAGGAUGGAGACCAGGUGAUCCACUUCCACCUGGCGAACGGUGGAGACCCAGGGGCAGGUCCCUUGGUCCUGGCCAGCUGCCCCUACCUCCUGCCUCUUGCUAUCCAGGGAGAGCAAGGCCACGAAGGCAGACAUCUGCAGCAGGAAGUCAAAGAGCACAGCAAGGCCGGAGGCCUCCGAGGCAGCCUCUGUGUGGGAAUAGCAGGGAUACAGUCCAGAGCCCACCAAGGACGCCGUCCGGUGACAGCCAACAGAGAGCUGGCAGGUGCCCAGAGACUCAGCCAGGCCUGAGGAAUUGCUCUGUCCUUCCUGAGUUGUGAACAGACUCUAACACUCUCCACAGCCACACUUUCUGCUCCCAGGAUCUGGCUUGGAUAAAUGCUCAGUUCAUUCGUUCAUUUGGGAUGUCUAUAUCAUCCCUAUUCCACACAUCACUGGAACCCUAAAUAUUCACAGGAGAAGGCUAAAUUGAUUGUAAUUUGGACUUAUUUUGGAAUGCUAAAUGUACUAACAUGGAAAGCUUUUACCAGUUGUUGCAUGGGGUUAAAUUCCAGACGACACAGACAGAAUGAACUCAUUUAUGUCAACACAUUCUACUUUUUUUUUUUUAAAUAGAGACAGGGUCUCACUAUUUUAUCUAGGCUGGGCUCAAACUCAAAAUCCUCCUGUCUCAACCUCCUGAGCAGCUGUGAUUACAAGCAUGUGCCACUGCACCUGGUUAACACACUCCAUUUUCAGGCGUUAUACUACAGGUAUUAUAAAGGUGUCAAUGCAUAGAAAGAGUCUAGAAGAAGAUCUAGCAAAUUGACGUUGGAGUUCUGUCUAGCCAGGAGUUGGGGUUAGGAGUAAAGGGUGUGGAGAACUG